rnacentral:lncRNA from 1 species
CUGCCAUAUCAGACGACACCGUGUCCAUGGUGACGUCUGUUUCGGACCUUUUUAUACUGGGCGACGUCCGAGCCAGUUUCCUGUUUGAUCUUCGUAAGUUCAUGCAAUUGUAGUUUUGCUACUGGGCGGAUGAUGUCCUCGGGGACAAAAUGUCCACCAGCAGAGACAUCAACCCAGUGGUAAUAAAAGAGGGACGAAAGAUACCAAAGGG